AUGUCUUCCUCCACGGUACGCAAGCGCCCACCGGCCAUUACCGCCGCCACUGCCAGCUCCGGCGAUGCCUCCCCGUGGACGACCCUGCACGGGGAUCUGGUCCGCCUCAUCGGAUGGCGGGAGCUCGCCGGGGACAUACUCGACUACGUCCGCUACCGUGCCGUCUGCCCGUACUGUCGGUCCAGCACCGUCUGCCCGCGCGGCCACGGAAUCAUCGAUCCGCGGUUUCACCCGCGCCGCUGGAUGAUGUUGCCCGAGGGGCACGGGCUCCAUCCCCGUGAAGACGGCAAGAAACGUUUCUUCAACCUGUCCACUGGAGUCUUCGUCCGCCCUCGACUUCCUCUUCUUAAAGACCACUUCGUCCUCUGCCCAGCAGACGGCCUGUUGCUCCUCCUCCGGCCGCGGGAAUACACCCAGGGCGACCAUCCAUGCCUCCUCCACCCCUUCACGGGCGACGUUGUGGAGCUCCCGGCAGACAUAACUCUCCCAGAAAACUCGAGAUUCCGCUUGUUACCGAUCAACGUGUUCGCCGCUGUGAGUACAAGUCCGGAUGGAGUCCUUGGGGUCAUGGUCGCGUUUCAGAAUAAACCAUUCAUACUCUUUGCGAGCACAAAUGACAAGCGGUGGAGUUUAUCUGCCUUUCGGGGCUUCCGCCCACACCCACAUGCGAGCCCAUUAUCAUUCAAAGGACAACCUUACAUGUUGCAGGAGCAGAUAUCUACUCCCUCCGUUCCGAAUUACUUAUCAUUGUAA
rnacentral:rRNA from 1 species